rnacentral:rRNA from 1 species
GAUGAACGCUGGCGGCGUGCCUAAUACAUGCAAGUCGAGCGAACAGAUGAGGAGCUUGCUCUUCUGACGUUAGCGGCGGACGGGUGAGUAACACGUGGAUAACCUACCUAUAAGACUGGGAUAACUUCGGGAAACCGGAGCUAAUACCGGAUAAUAUAUUGAACCGCAUGGUUCAAUAGUGAAAGACGGUUUUGCUGUCACUUAUAGAUGGAUCCGCGCCGCAUUAGCUAGUUGGUAAGGUAACGGCUUACCAAGGCAACGAUGCGUAGCCGACCUGAGAGGGUGAUCGGCCACACUGGAACUGAGACACGGUCCAGACUCCUACGGGAGGCAGCAGUAGGGAAUCUUCCGCAAUGGGCGAAAGCCUGACGGAGCAACGCCGCGUGAGUGAUGAAGGUCUUCGGAUCGUAAAACUCUGUUAUUAGGGAAGAACAAAUGUGUAAGUAACUAUGCACGUCUUGACGGUACCUAAUCAGAAAGCCACGGCUAACUACGUG